GGAAGGGUGCCAGAGCGGUUGAAUGGGGCGGUCUCGAAAACCGCUAUACGCGUAAGUGUAUCGAGGGUUCAAAUCCCUCUCCUUCCGCCA
rnacentral:tRNA from 1 species